UACGUAGGGUGCGAGCGUUAAUCGGAAUUACUGGGCGUAAAGUGUGCGCAGGCGGCGCUGCAAGUCGAGUGUGAAAUCCCCGAGCUUAACUUGGGAAUUGCGCUCGAAACUACGGCGCUGGAGUAUGGCAGAGGAAGGUGGAAUUCCACGUGUAGCGGUGAAAUGCGUAGAGAUGUGGAGGAACACCGAUGGCGAAGGCAGGUCUCUGGGCAUUAACUGACGCUGAGGAGCG
rnacentral:rRNA from 1 species